CCCCCGGCCGGGGUGCCUAUACAUGCAGUCGAACGCGUUGGCCCAAUUGAUUGACGGUGCUUGCACCUGAUUGAUUUUGGUCGCCAACGAGUGGCGGACGGGUGAGUAACACGUAGGUAACCUGCCCAGAAGCGGGGGACAACAUUUGGAAACAGAUGCUAAUACCGCAUAACAGCGUUGUUCGCAUGAACAACGCUUAAAAGAUGGCUUCUCGCUAUCACUUCUGGAUGGACCUGCGGUGCAUUAGCUUGUUGGUGGGGUAAUGGCCUACCAAGGCGAUGAUGCAUAGCCGAGUUGAGAGACUGAUCGGCCACAAUGGGACUGAGACACGGCCCAUACUCCUACGGGAGGCAGCAGUAGGGAAUCUUCCACAAUGGGCGCAAGCCUGAUGGAGCAACACCGCGUGAGUGAAGAAGGGUUUCGGCUCGUAAAGCUCUGUUGUUAAAGAAGAACACGUAUGAGAGUAACUGUUCAUACGUUGACGGUAUUUAACCAGAAAGUCACGGCUAACUACGUGCCAGCAGCCGCGGUAAUACGUAGGUGGCAAGCGUUAUCCGGAUUUAUUGGGCGUAAAGAGAGUGCAGGCGGUUUUCUAAGUCUGAUGUGAAAGCCUUCGGCUUAACCGGAGAAGUGCAUCGGAAACUGGAUAACUUGAGUGCAGAAGAGGGUAGUGGAACUCCAUGUGUAGCGGUGGAAUGCGUAGAUAUAUGGAAGAACACCAGUGGCGAAGGCGGCUACCUGGUCUGCAACUGACGCUGAGACUCGAAAGCAUGGGUAGCGAACAGGAUUAGAUACCCUGGUAGUCCAUGCCGUAAACGAUGAGUGCUAGGUGUUGGAGGGUUUCCGCCCUUCAGUGCCGGAGCUAACGCAUUAAGCACUCCGCCUGGGGAGUACGACCGCAAGGUUGAAACUCAAAGGAAUUGACGGGGGCCCGCACAAGCGGUGGAGCAUGUGGUUUAAUUCGAAGCUACGCGAAGAACCUUACCAGGUCUUGACAUCUUGCGCCAACCCUAGAGAUAGGGCGUUUCCUUCGGGAACGCAAUGACAGGUGGUGCAUGGUCGUCGUCAGCUCGUGUCGUGAGAUGUUGGGUUAAGUCCCGCAACGAGCGCAACCCUUGUUACUAGUUGCCAGCAUUAAGUUGGGCACUCUAGUGAGACUGCCGGUGACAAACCGGAGGAAGGUGGGGACGACGUCAGAUCAUCAUGCCCCUUAUGACCUGGGCUACACACGUGCUACAAUGGACGGUACAACGAGUCGCGAACUCGCGAGGGCAAGCAAAUCUCUUAAAACCGUUCUCAGUUCGGACUGCAGGCUGCAACUCGCCUGCACGAAGUCGGAAUCGCUAGUAAUCGCGGAUCAGCAUGCCGCGGUGAAUACGUUCCCGGGCCUUGUACACACCGCCCGUCACACCAUGAGAGUUUGUAACACCCAAAGUCGGUGGGGUAACCUUUUAGGAGCCAGCCGCCUAAGUGACAAGGUUGG
rnacentral:rRNA from 1 species